GUCUACAAUUGCCUUGGCCAGAUUCCCAAACAUUCUCGACUCGCCUACAGAUUUACAAUGACUUCUGCUAAACCAGUGACUGAAAGCCUUGAAAAAUUAUUGGAGAAGAAUGUAAAAGGAGAUGAUCUGGUUGAAAUAAAAAGAAUUCUUUAUGGCAAAGAAUUGUCGAAUCUGGACAUUCCCAAAGAAGCUCAGAAACUUGCUGAAGAACAUGACUUUGAGAUACAAGCAUACAAAUUUGGAACUAUAUUUAAUGAACAAUUACGGACACCAAGAAUUGUACGAGUUGGGCUAAUCCAGACUCACAUUGUACGACCCACCAGUGAUCCACUAAAGGAGCAGCGAGAGGCAAUCUUUGAUCGUAUGUCAAAAGUAGUUGAUGUUGCUGCAUAUUGUGGAGUGAACAUAAUAUGUUUCCAGGAGUUGUGGCCAUAUCCAUACGCCUUCUGCACACGGGAGAAACAGCCCUGGUGUGAAUUAGCUGAAUCUGUUGAAGAUGGACCUACAACACAGUUUGUGCAGAAGCUAAGUCGACAGUACAAUAUGGUUAUUGUGUCUUCUAUCUUGGAGCGAGCUGAAAGUCUUGAGGAUGUACUGUGGAACACUACAGUGGUAGUUUCAAACACUGGCCAAAUAUUGGGCAAGCAUCGUAAGAAUCAUAUCCCUAGAAUUGGUGAUUUCAAUGAGUCUCAUUAUUAUAUGGAAGGUGAUACUGGACAUCCAGUAUUUCAGACACAAUUUGGUCGAAUUGCUAUCAACAUUUGUUUUGGGCGUCAUCAUCCUCUGAACUGGCUGAUGUUUGGAUUGAAUGGGGCUGAGAUUGUGUUCAACCCAUCAGCAACAGUUGCUCCUCUUAGUGAGCCCUUGUGGGGAAUUGAGGCACGUAAUGCAGCUAUUGCAAAUGGUUACUUCACUGCUGCGAUCAAUCGUGUUGGCAUUGAAACAUUCCCAAAUGAAUUCUCAACAGGAGAUGGAUUACCACCUCACCGAGAUCUGAAAUACUUUUAUGGAUCCAGUUACAUUGCUGCCCCUGACGGAAGUCGCACUCCAGGUCUCAGUCGAGUCAGGGACGGCCUUCUGGUGGCAGAGUUAGACUUGAAUCUGAAUCGACAAGUCAGGGAUUAUACGUGCUUUCAAAUGACACAGCGUUUAGAUCUUUAUGCAGAAUCACUGGCAAAAGCUGCAAAGCCAGAUUAUAAGCCACAGAUCAUACGUGACAAUUAAAGCUUCAUACUCUCAUAUCAACUGGAUCACAACCAAAGACAAUGUGCCUCAGUGAAGAAGUCUGUUGUGGGUUGUAACAUCAUGUGCUCCUGUAAGUGGCCAUCAUCAUUCUGAAGGAAUGUACUACCUCCAUCUAUAAUCUUUAGUAAGGAAGUUGAGUACAACAUACUCCACUGAAACUUUGGUAACCAGCUACAAGACAUCACAGUGUCACAACCCAGAAGUCUACAAGAAACAAAUAAUUUACUGAACUGAUUACCUUUGUAUACUACCUUGCCCUGGCUGACAACAGCAACCACCAAUGGCAUCACGCAAAAUGCACAGUAUGGACCUCAGAACAGAACCAGCUGGCCGAUGAACUAAGUAAUAGGGGCGUCCAAGAGAGAAAAGUAUCAGAGCCAUCAAUAAACAGCCACCUGUUCCAGCAAAUGCUCUCAGGAAUCCAUCUGUCAUGUCCAGUGCUACAUAAGACAGUGCUCCUACACCCAACAGACUUCCAGUGUUGACACACCAGUAGUACCAGUUAAAGAACUUGCGGAGAGAGUCAGCUCCACCGUACUUCACCUAAGACGAAACAUUAGAAUUUGUAGAACCUUACACCAAAUUAAAUUCAGAAUCUUGGUAUGCAUAUCCCCCCUCCCCAAAGUCUAGUCCAAUUGCAAUCCAGAAUUUUUUUUAUUCUAUGGAAGCUUUUGGUCUACAGAUAAGGAGCUAUACUUCUCUACUGAGAGUGGCAUAUUUUUCUGCUUGUCUUUUCAGUCUCAUGUCUUUUUUGGACUCUAAAUUCUGUCUGUGUUGGAAAUAGCAGGUGCCUACCAUGGUUUGAGUCCAUAACUAACUAUAUGUAGAAAUCUUCAAUAUAUUCCAGUUACUGAAA